UACAGAGGUCUCGAGCGUUAGGCGGAAUCACUGGGCUUAAAGCGUGUGUAGGCGGAUCGGUAAGUACCUUGUGAAAUCCCACAGCUUAACUGUGGAACUGCUUGGUAUACUGCCGGUCUUGAGCCAGCUAGGGGCUACCGGAACAAAUGGUGGAGCGGUGAAAUGCGUAGAUAUCAUUUGGAACGCCAAUGGUGAAAACAGGUAGCUGGGGGCUGUGCUGACGCUGAGACACGAAAGCCAGGGGAGCAAACGGG
rnacentral:rRNA from 1 species